UACGUAGGGGGCAAGCGUUGUCCGGAAUUAUUGGGCGUAAAGAGCGUGUAGGCGGCCAGAUAAGUCCGCUGUGAAAACUCGAGGCUCAACUUCGAGCUGUCGGUGGAAACUUUCUGGCUAGAGUCCGGAAGAGGAGAAUGGAAUUCCUGGUGUAGCGGUGAAAUGCGCAGAUAUCAGGAAGAACACCCGUGGCGAAGGCGGUUCUCUGGGACGGUACUGACGCUGAGACGCGAAAGCGUGGGGAGCGAACAGG
rnacentral:rRNA from 1 species